GUUAAUUCUUAUCACCAAUCGCCUGGUGAGAAAGUUAAAAGUUUAAGAUUUAACAUAACCAAGGUGUGAAUUGGAUUUCAAUUUUGCUGGUUUACAUCAAACAUCAAAUUUAUGCAAAUAUUUAUUCAGCCUCAUUUUAGAUUCAGAGUCAACUGGCACUGAAUCGAUCACAUGGUAUUUGUUCCCCACCUGGCCCUUACGACGCGCAGCUAGAUUGGGCCGGAUGCCAGGCUA
rnacentral:lncRNA from 1 species